rnacentral:tRNA from 1 species
GGGACUGUAGCUCAGUUGGUAGAGCACCGGCCUUUUAAGCCGAGGGUCGUGGGUUCGAUCCCCACCGGUCCCACCA